rnacentral:tRNA from 1 species
GAGGGUAUAGCUCAGUGAUCAAGCACGUGCUUUGCCUGCAUGAGGUCCUGGGUUCAAUCCCCAGUACCUCCA